GCAGGGAUGGCGGAGCUUGGUCAAACGCGAUGGACUCAAGAUCCAUUGGCUUAGGCCUGCGGGAGUUCAAAUGUAUAGAAUAAAUCUCCCUCCCUGCA
rnacentral:tRNA from 1 species